AACUCUUCAGCAAUGCCUGAAAGGGUGACGAGGGGACUCUGAGUACUUCGCACUGCGAAGUCUUUUGCCGAGUGUAAAAAGCUCGGAGAAUAAGUG
rnacentral:rRNA from 1 species